UUCUCUUUCACGAACUAUUUCAUUCUUCUUCUUCCUCUUCCUCCUCAUCUUCUUCUUCUUUUUCCUUCUUCUUUCACGAAAAUUGACAAAGCGAAACUGAAGUUGGGAAUGAAACCCUAACCUUCAAUAGUUCAAAUCUCUAAACUCUUUUUGCACUUCAAGAUGGCAAAUCCCUAACCCUAACGAUUGUGUUUGAUAAACAUGUAAGAUUGGUGGAUUGCAUGCGACGGGGAGUAGAAGUUCGAUGAAUAAAUCGUCUGAUUUUGAUGAUUUGAUGGCUGGAUUUGGUGGCGGUAGCAUCGUUUUCAAUAAUGGGUUCAUGCUUAUUAUGGAUUUGGUAUUAUCUCAUCUUCUAGAAAUAAGGAGGGAAAGAUCAUUUUCCUAUGGUUAUAUAUGAAAUUGUUGGUUGUUUAAAUUGGUACAUACAAAUAUAACACCAAAGGUCAAAUUUGACACCACCUACUUCCACCCCAAUGUAGAUAUGCAUGGCAAUAUAUGCCUAGAUAUUCUUCAGAUAAAUGGUCAUCUGCUUAUGAUGUAAGAAUGAUUCUUAUAUCUAUUCAAAGCCUACUAGGAGUUUAGAGCCAAACAUUAGCUCUCUGCUAAAUCCACAAGCAGCGCAGCUUUGGCGCAAUCAAGAAGAAUACAGGAAGAUGGUAGAGGAGUUGUACAAAUCUCCUGUGGCUUAAUUUAGAUCUGAGAGUUCUCAUGGAUUUUAUUUCUCUAUGUUUGGCUUGGUCAAGUUUGGAAAAGAGAAGUUGUUCAAAAACUGUGGCAAAGGUGAUAUUCGGUGCAAAGUCGGUUAGUUAUGCUACUGCAAAUAGUCUUCAUUUGGUUUUGUGGUAUAGGUUUUGGCUUUGGAUCAUGUUCGGUUCAAAAAAUUCCGGCGGUUUCUUGGUAGUUCAAAUUGUGACUAUUACUACUAUUGUGUUCUGACUUUUGGUAUUUAUUGAAUUCUCCCAAAUGAAUGUUUAAUCUCUUUUUAGGUGUUUUAAGACAAACUAAGGUUACAUUUCUAUAUAUCUCUUUUGAUAUCUUUAAAUUUAAAGAAUUUUGUUUAAUUAGUUUAGGACUUCAAUUUAACUAUUGCACUUUUCAGUUGCUUGGCACAUUUUUUAGUGCUGAGAUGCAUAUUCUUGAAUCGAAAGAGCUUAAGAAGAGGAUGAAGCAUAUUUUGGAAAUUAUUGAAGAGGUGAAAUGGCAAGAUGUUGACCCUGACUUGCUAACAAGGUUUCACUUCGUCUUCGCUCUGUCUCUUCUCUUGUGUCCCAUGGUUAUUAUGUUAUGUCUUGCUACAGCCUACAUCUAAGCACAUUAUAGAGAAGCAGAAUGUAUGAGAGUCAAAAUGGAAGAUUUACUAUAUAAAUACGGUAUUGACGUUGUGUUCAAUGGACAUGUAAGCAUAUUUCUAUUUAUGGUUUAGGAUGUCGCGUGACUCAUUGGUUUUGAGUUCGAGUCAACUAAUGAGCGCAUAAUCCAAUGUCUGGUCACAAACUUCUUCAACAUCUCAAGUUACUCAUGACAAAUUGCUGUCAAACUUCUAUUUAUUGCUUUGUUUUUUUCUUAGUCUAUUGAUUUUGUAUUUGUUCUCAAAAUAGUUUUUGACAUUUUCUUAUCAAACCAUACUUUUCGUCUCGCAGAUCACUACAUUUUUUUAAAUCCUUUUGUUCAAUUAUAAUCAUGCUCAUCAAUAUGUUUUCUACAUUUUUCUAUAAUCCUACUGAUGUGUUAUAAUGACGCUGAUCAACAAGUUUUCUACAUUAGCUUAAUAUUCUUCUGAUCAAUAUUAAUCAUGAUAUAUAUACUAAUGGAGAUCGAGGAUAUGCGGCAGAUCUAUCUGAUUAGGUACAUUAUUUUGACACAACCAGCAGAUGAAACCAGCAAUAAGAAUGUUGGAAGACAUGUGGCAUAUCUUUCUAUAGCAAGGGUAUAGAAAAUGUGAUAACUAUUGAUUUGCACGGGCAACACGUGAAACCCGCAAUGAGAAUGCUGAAACUCCGCCUUCUAUUUGGAUCAUAUGUUUCGUCUAUUUGGAUGAAAAGGAUCAUCACACGAUGUGGAUCAGGAAAGUUGAAGCUGAAACAAUUGAAUCUGCAAUCUUUGUUUCAAUUUGGAGCAACCAAAGUAAUUGAGAGAUAGAAAAGGUUUAUGAAUAGAUCUGUGAGAAACGUGCAAAUUGAGCUCAAUUAUGGAAAUUUUAAAUUGGAAAUGAGACUUGGGAUCUAAAUUCUAUAGUAAACAAGUUAUUCAUGUUUGUUGCUUUU